rnacentral:rRNA from 1 species
ACGAACCGUGCGAACGUUGUUCGGAAUCACUGGGCUUAAAGGGCGCGUAGGCGGCUUGCCAAGUCGGGGGUGAAAUCCGGCAGCUUAACUGUCGAAGUGCCUUCGAUACUGGCAAGCUCGAGGGAGGUAGGGGUCUGUGGAACUUCUGGUGGAGCGGUGAAAUGCGUUGAUAUCAGAAGGAACGCCGGUGGCGAAAGCGACGGACUGGACCUCUUCUGACGCUGAGGCGCGAAAGCUAGGGGAGCAAACGGGA